CAUCGUCGGUCCGUAUCCAGCUCCAUAUGGCCCACUUCCAGAAGUUGGUAGUUUCAACGUGCUGCCGUAGCUAGGUCCAUAUCCGUAACCAGUGCUCCCAGGUGCCGGAAAUUUCAUCGUUGGUCCGUAUCCAGCUCCAUAUGGCCCACUUCCAGAAGCUGGUAGUUUCAACGUGCUGCCGUAGCUAGGUCCGUAUCCGUAACCAGUGCUCCCAGAUGCCGGUAAUUUCAUCGUUGGUCCGUAUCCAGCUCCAUAUGGCCCGCUUCCAGAAGCUGGUAGUUUCAACGUGCUGCCGUAACUAGGUCCAUAUCCGUAACCAGUGCUCCCAGAUGCCGGAAAUUUCAUCGUCGGUCCGUAUCCAGCUCCAUAUGGCCCGCUUCCAGAAGCUGGUAGUUUCAACGUGCUGCCGUAGCUAGGUCCGUAUCCGUAACCAGUGCUCCCAGAUGCCGGAAAUUUCAUCGUCGGUCCGUAUCCAGCUCCAUAUGGCCCGCUUCCAGAAGCUGGUAGUUUCAACGUGCCGCCGUAGCUAGGUCCGUAUCCGUAACCAGUGCUCCCGGAUGCCGGAAAUUUCAUCGUUGGUCCGUACCCAGCUCCAUAUGGCCCGCUUCCUGAAGCUGGUAGUUUCAACGAGCUGCCAUAGCUAGGUCCGUAUCCGUAACCAGUGUUCCCAGGUGCCGGAAAUUUCAUCGUUGGUCCGUAUCCAGCUCCAUAUGGCCCGCUUCCAGAAGCUGGUAGUUUCAACGUGCUGCCGUAGCUAGGUCCGUAUCCGUAACCAGUGCUCCCAGAUGCCGGUAAUUUCAUCGUUGGUCCGUAUCCAGCUCCAUAUGGCCCGCUUCCAGAAGCUGGUAGUUUCAACGUGCUGCCGUAGCUAGGUCCAUAUCCGUAACCAGUGCUCCCAGAUGCCGGAAAUUUCAUCGUCGGUCCAUAUCCAGCUCCAUAUGGCCCGCUUCCAGAAGCUGGUAGUUUCAACGUGCUGCCGUAGCUAGGUCCGUAUCCGUAA